rnacentral:rRNA from 1 species
AACGCUGGCGGCGUGCCUAACACAUGCAAGUCGAACGGAGUUGAGCCCUUCGGGACUUAACUUAGUGGCGAACGGGUGAGUAACGCGUGAGGAACCUGCCUUUCAGUGGGGGACAACAGUUGGAAACGACUGCUAAUACCGCAUAAUACUUUCGAGCGGCAUCGUUUGAAAGUCAAAGAUUUAUUGCUGAAAGAUGGCCUCGCGUCUGAUUAGCUAGUUGGUGGGGUAACGGCUCACCAAGGCGACGAUCAGUAGCCGGUCUGAGAGGAUGAACGGCCACAUUGGGACUGAGAUACGGCCCAGACUCCUACGGGAGGCAGCAGUGGGGAAUAUUGGGCAAUGGGGGAAACCCUGACCCAGCAACGCCGCGUGAAGGAAGAAGGCCUUCGGGUUGUAAACUUCUUUUACCAGGGACGAAAAAAGUGACGGUACCUGGAGAAAAAGCAACGGCUAACUACGUG